CCUCACAUCCCUGAACAGCGUGACUGCUUAUGGUUUUGACCUUAUCCGUGGAGCCAAGACUCUUGACCUUAUCAAGAGUGCUGGUUUCCCCUCUGGAAAGUACCUCUUUGCCGGUGUUGUGGAUGGACGCAACAUCUGGGCUGAUGAUCUCGCUGCAUCUCUCACUACCCUUGAGUCUCUUGAGGCUAUUGUUGGAAAGGGUAAGCAAUUAAGCAUGAAGUUAUUAUAUCUGUUAUAUUUUAAUAGGUACAAUUUGCUGUAUCCAAUAAUAUCCUCAAUUUCUGCACAUCCAACAAUACCUUUCAUUUCUGCAGACAAGCUUGUGGUCUCGACUUCCUGCUCACUCAUGCACACCGCUGUGGAUCUUGUAAAUGAGACCAAGCUCGAUAGCGAGAUUAAGUCAUGGCUCGCUUUUGCUGCCCAAAAGGUGGUUGAGGUGAAUGCCCUUGCUAAGGCAUUGGCUGGACAGAAGGAUGAGGUAUGGUACUCUCUUUCACCCUUUAUUUAUUCUCUCACCUCUUAGUAAGAGAUCAGGCUUAGUUCUCAAUAUUAUUCGGAGAAACUUCUGCUGCUGCUCAGGCUUACUUUUGUACAUUUGUAAACAAUAUUGUACAGGCUUACUUUGCAGCAAACGCUGCUGCUCAGGCCUCCAGGAGGUCAUCACCUCGUGUGACAAACGAGGAAGUCCAAAAGGCUGUAAGUACCUUGCGUUUUUGGCCAGCAUUUGCUGAUUUCAUAUCAACAUAACUUCACAUGUUUUUCUUAAACACAUGAUAUUGUUUGUGAAGGCUGCUGCUCUGAAGGGGUCUGACCACCGCCGUGCUACCAAUGUUAGCGCUAGACUGGACGCACAGCAGAAGAAGCUCAACCUUCCAGUCCUUCCUACAACCACAAUUGGUUCAUUCCCACAGACUGUGGAGCUCAGGAGAGUCCGCCGUGAGUACAAGGCAAAAAAGUGAGUAACAGUCCACAUCAACGCUUCACUUGUUUCCCUUCUUUCGUCUAUAUUACUCAUAGCAAAAUACUGCUACAGGAUCUCUGAGGAGGAGUACAUCAGUGCCAUCAAGGAGGAAAUCAGCAAGGUUGUUAAGAUCCAGGAAGAGCUUGACAUCGAUGUCCUUGUUCACGGCGAGCCUGAGGUCAGUAUCCUUGUGUACUGUUUGUGUUUUCUAGACUUUGCACCUGGCUGUUUGAGAAAACAAAAUAAAUAUAUUUAUUGAAGCAUUAACAAAGUUUGGUUUGUUCUGCAUUGAAGUAAGCUAAUUGGCAUGUAUUUUAUACUUUCAGAGAAACGAUAUGGUUGAGUACUUCGGUGAGCAGCUUUCUGGUUUUGCAUUCACUGCCAACGGAUGGGUGCAAUCUUAUGGAUCACGGUGUGUCAAGCCACCAAUUAUCUAUGGUGAUGUGAGCCGCCCCAACCCCAUGACUGUGUUCUGGUCCAAGUUGGCGCAGAGCAUGACCUCUCGCCCCAUGAAGGGAAUGUUGACUGGUCCCGUCACAAUCCUUAACUGGUCUUUUGUCAGGAAUGACCAGCCGAGGUCAGUGCCUGUUGUUGAUAAUGUAAUCUAAUUUGUUCUGGUUGUGAAUGAGCAUUCUUUUCUGAGUCUGACAUUCAUACGCUGGCUCAGGUUUGAGACAUGCUACCAGAUUGCUCUUGCCAUCAAGAAGGAGGUCGAGGACCUUGAGGCUGGUGGUAUUCAGGUUGGUCCUGUUCUAUAAUUUGGUUCUCAAGAGAAUCUUGCUUACGUUUUUUUAAUGGUCCUUUGCAGGUCAUCCAAAUCGAUGAGGCUGCUUUGAGAGAAGGUCUGCCACUCCGCAAGGCGGAGCAUGCUUUCUACUUGGACUGGGCUGUUCACUCCUUCAGAAUCACCAACUGCGGUGUUCAGGACACCACCCAGGUAAUUUGCCUUGAUUACACUGUCGCUGGAGCCUCGCAUUGUCAUCGCCUAUCUUCUGGAGCUAAGAAAUUUCUCUUUGACAGAUCCACACCCACAUGUGCUACUCUAACUUCAACGACAUCAUCCACUCCAUCAUCAACAUGGACGCUGAUGUGAUCACCAUCGAGAACUCCCGGUCCGACGAGAAGCUGCUCUCCGUCUUCCGCGAGGGUGUGAAGUAUGGUGCUGGCAUUGGCCCUGGUGUCUAUGACAUCCACUCCCCAAGGAUCCCGUCCACAGAGGAGAUUGCGGACCGCGUCAACAAGAUGCUCGCGGUGCUCGACACUAACAUUCUCUGGGUGAACCCUGACUGCGGUCUCAAGACCCGCAAGUACAACGAGGUCAAGCCCGCCCUUACCAACAUGGUUUCGGCCGCCAAGCUCAUCCGCACCCAGCUCGCCAGCGCGAAGUGAGGAUAUCCAUAGCUGCAAGUUCCCUUCGGUUGCGAGGACGAUGCCGUCAUAGCCAUCUGUUUUUGAAUAAUCUGGGUCCAGUGGAUCCAAUUGUCUGUGGUUAGGUUUAGUCAGUCUCGGUGGGAAGAUCCCUCAUACCCGUUUUACUUUUGAAUCAAUUUGGUGGUUUUUGAGGCAGUUUGUCGGUGUAUUUGUAUUGUGUGUAAUCUGAGUGGGAAUCAGCAGUGUUUCAUCUGCAUCUGAAUCGUUGCGGAUCAAAUUACAAAAUUUUCAAGGAGAGUUCUUGAUGUUAUGGUCUUCCAACUACCUAAGUGUUUUGUGUCAGUUGUUCACCUGAGUUGAGAGUGGUUGAUUUCUGAUGAUUCCUUGCUGGUGGAGAUCACUUUGCAUUUUAUUUAGAUAUAAAGCCAGUCACUUGAAAUAGUUAGAUGUUGGGAUUUGAACACAUUGUUGUAAGCAUGCAACAUUAGCAAACUGUUCAUGGUCAUUUCUGGUCUGGUUGCUUGGAUCAGGACAUGAAAUGGAUUGAAAGUGGAACAAAAGUAUGCUUGCAAUGAGCAGUACCAUUUUGGUUAUUGUGGUCUUUGAGUGUAUGCAUUUGCAUUGCAGGUGGUGUUAAUUUACAUGUAAAUCUCAUUAGCUUAACAAAUACUGUACUUAAUUACAUAUCACAAUUGGCAAAUUCAUGCUCUUUUUCGUCAGAGACAUGAGAAGAGUGGCUGUCUUGCUUCUUUCUAGCUACCACGGUGCGACACGGGACAUGAGUCAUGACAAGCACCGUCGUAUGGGUCCACGCAUGAAUCUAUUAAAAACCUAUUAAAAACGUUUUCUUAUAAUGUGAAACGGGUGUUCCAUCGGUUGCUCAUAUUUCCUAAUAAAUUUAAACAGCUUAUUAGGGAAUAAAAAUUAUUUUAUACAUAAAACUUUUAUAUAUUUGUUCGUAGCGAAUUAAAAGUCAAUGAUAAAAAAAAUUACGUUAAAAAUAUCUCAAAAAUCAAUUUCCAAAUCAAGUUGAAAAUUUUAAAUUUUGGUUUAUUAGGCGAACCGACGGGGGUUUAUUGGAUCAUGACAUGUUUCAGCGUGUGGCCUUGACAAAGAUAGUGAUGUGCAAGUAGAAAAUCCAUGGAAAUUAUCGACGAGUUUUUAGUUUUGACCCCAGCACAGAGAUGAUUGGCUCUAUCUACUACUCCAUCUUUGGUGAAUCACAGCCAUAAUAAUUUUUUUUUCUGUUCAAAAUCUGAAUUUUGUGACUGCACUCCCAUUUUCACCCAAGUAAGUGUGAACUUCCCCUGAUUGCAACCUUGAAAAAAUGAAGUGCAUAUGCAUAGAGUCAGAAUAACAUUUCAUUAUCCACCAACCCCCAUGGGAGUUAGGAGCGCCUAACAUUUCUUCUUCUUUGAUAUCCACCAACCCCCAUGGCCCCACAUAAGUAAGCAUCAUUGAUCAACUCCCCUCUACCAUGACAUGAACACAUAAACUCCUGCCUAAUAUUCUCAACAAAAUGGACUUCCCAUGAUACAAAAAUACUCAACUUCAUGCAUGCAAAAUGAGGAGAUAUUUGCAGCUAAGGUGACCCCAUCAUGGUUGUUAAGAGUAGGAGGAGCACCAAUUGAAGGAUUUCAAGUAUAUUCCAUGUUCAUUCUUGAUUGGCACGAUCUAAUCAAGAUUCCAGUAGUUUCAAAAAAGAAAAAAAAAGAAAAUCAAGAUUCCAGUGAAGCACUUUAAAUUUCCACUACUCCUACUGCUCCAGUCUCCACAUGGUUUGCAUUGAGUUCUAAGAUAGUCAGUGCUCAGUACCAUGUUGUAUAUGAUGAACAUUCAUUUGCAUUUGGAGUUGGACAAAAGGAGUUCUGCAAAUGUAAACUGAGUUUCAGACUUUUUAUACAUUUCUGAUUUCAGUAACAUUGCAUCUACAGCAUAAACGAUCUGCUUAACUUUAUGGCUAACUUUAUACAUUGGUUGGCUAAACUCUUGUUAGAGUACUUCCUAAGUGGGAUUUGGUAUAAGUAAAGGUUCAUUGAAUCCAGACAUAUUGCAGACUAUCCCAGAUCGACAAAAAACUGUGGCUUGAAAGUUCAGUCACACCUCAUCUCAAGAAAAUUUCCUCUCCAAGCUCUUCUCAGGAUUCAUCAAAAGUUGGUUAAUUUACUGAACCCAAAGCCAGACACAAUUUUAUUUUUUCAAGGAGCUUGGAUCCAACACUGAUGUGAUUAAAAAACCCCAAACCUGGAUCAAAUAAAUCUUGUACUACUACAAUAGUACUCUACUGUACUAGUACUGCAACUACAAACAAGACACAUGAAGACAAUGUCACGUGAAGAUCUGCCAUUGGUCCGUGCUGCCUCCAAUGGCGAUAAAAAACUGUUUACUUUGUCGGUAACUGUAAUUAGCGACUGAUAAUUCGUGUUUACUUAUUAUAAGCUUGAGGCUCUAUAUGUUGCAGGACAGCAUGGACAGCAAUCAUGCAAGAACGUGCUAUCACAGUCAGUACUCACAGCCUCUUGUCCCUUUCUAUGGGAAUAUAAUAGUCCCUUCAAUUCUUUUUCUUAAUUUUUCUCCUCUAAAAUGAAUGACUGAAUUGUCUAAAUUAAGUUGUAUGCGAGAUUGUUUGUGCAGCAUUUUAAGGUAGACUAUAGUGGAGAAUUUGUUGGUGUUCAGUUUUCUCUUUUGAGAAAUAGUGUCAUCAGUAUGUUUUACUAGCUUGUACCCAAAAUUUCCCUACUUCCUUAUUUAUCAUUUAAAAUUGUCUCUUCCACUGUGUUUUCAUAAUUUUAAGAGGGUGGGUAGACAGGAAUCAAAGUGGUAAAGAGCUUUAGUAAAAUGUCUAGAUCCCUCACAGAUUCCUUCACAAAUUAUUCAAGAGGACUGAAUUCUCUGGAUACAAAAUAUUUCUUUGUUGAUCGUAUCUCAUAUCACAAUCCAUUGGAAAAGAUGGAGGGUAAUUCCAAAGGAAAAGUGUAUACUGGACUAAACUAAAUUAAACAAUUUUUAAACUUCACACAAAAUGAAACUAUGACAACCGUGCAAGAGCCUCCAGGCCACCAUCUCACCAACCACAGCCUCUCUCACCAACUCUGCUCCUCCAAUUGUUAAUUUAAGGAGAGAAUGACUUUUCUUUUAGCUAAUAACUAUACUAAUACUAUAUUUGUGCUCAAUAAUUACGUGACUUUCGGCACUAAAAAAAUGGAGUUACAUUUGUACAUGUAUAGCUAGCUAGCAUUAGCCCAUAAUACGAUGUGGUAAACCAUUAUUUAAUUUAGUCGUCAUGCCUCAUCAUGCAUAAACGUGGAAAAGGCAGACAAACUUUCUCAAAGGCAGCUUUUUUUGUUUUUGGUGGAAACACAAUUGGCUUGAGUUGGGUACAUGAUCAUAGCUACACACAGAAAAAAAAACUUCUGAAAUAAUCAGAUAUGUAAACCUUAGCUAACAAUAAACAAUUAUUUUUGAACAGCUUGGUCAGAAUAUAUUUUCAAACAACAGUAAUGAAAAACAGGUCAAACUUACAACAAAUAAUAUGAAAAAUAUUUCUCCAUUUUCUUGAGAAAACAAAUCAAAUCACAACCCACAUGUAUAUUUGAAACUACUAUUAAAAAUGGAUAUUUUAGCCACCGAGAUAUUACAUAAUAAUUUCUAAAUUAGUUUUCUAUGCGGCAAGAGAUGAGGAUCAUAAUCAUUAAAAGUAUGCAUAUUAUGAUACUAUGUUAAGUGGAACAAGUCCUAAUUUGUAGUGAUCCAUCAUUUAACCUGGACAAUUAAUCUCUACCCACACUAAAAUGGUGCAAGCUUAGCUACACAUCAUACACAGAAAAACACAAUAUUGCACAAUCUAGAGAUGCCGUAGACUCGAAUAGUCAUUUUCCAUGUAAAUAUGAUAUUAUAAUUAACUCAUGCGUAGGCUAAUGUAGCAAUAGGGAUAUGGACAUUGUCAAAAGUGGUUUAAAAGAAGGUUAAUUAUGAUGAUAUGUGGUAACUGGAGCACGACCUAAUUUACGGUGAUCAUCCAUAACUUAACAUUGACAAUUACUCUUACCGACAAUAAAAAAAGGUUCAUGACUAAUGAAAUACUACCAGAUUUGAGUAUUGUACUGCACAAGCUGGUGUACUUGCACGACACAAACUUGUUUUCAGAUAAAUAUCCCAUACUGCAAUACUUUUGAAUACAUAUUUUUGUAAAUGGAGAUGUCAUUGGAGCGGUCCGAAGAACUAUGAUGACAUGGUAACUCAAGUACGACCUAAUUUACAGUGAUCAUCCAUAACUUAACAUUGACAAUCAAUCUUACGGUCUUACCAACACUAAAAAGGCUCAUGGUGAAAUGAAAUGCUACCAUAUUUGAGUAUUUGACAUGGGACACCCCAUACCAACUUGUUUUUAGGGGGAAAAUAAAUAUUUAGGACUGGUUUUGUCUGGGGCUUGACCUUAACAAUUUUUGCUAAUGUUAAAUUUCGGCAUAGCCUCUUUUGACAAUGUAAUACUAUUAAAAAUACCAAAUAUUUGUAAGGCCAAUUUAGGCCACAAAUGAAACCAACCUGAAUCUCUUUUAUUAAUAUAUUCUUAUUCUAUAUCCUUUAUAAAUGAAUUUCCCUAAAAAAUUAGCCCCAAUCCUAUAUGCUUAAUCCAUAAAUUAUUCUAACCAUCAACUAAAAAAACCCUAAAAAAGUUUAUUCUUGCAAUUGCUCAUGAUACCCUCUUGUAGCUCAUAGGUAUAUUUUUUCUAAAGUUCAAUAUUGUCGACGAGUGAUACUCGCGGACCGGAUGAGUAGAGUAUUGGGGUACGUUGGAACGAGGGUUUACAUAGUACGACAUCAAAGCAGACAAAAGGCAAGGAUUAUACUGGUUCAGACCCUUAUCAGGUAAUAGCCCUAGUCCAGUUUAUAUGGGAUUGAUGAUGAUGAGAACAGAUUACAAAGAGAGUAGUCAAAACAGAUGAUACCGACGAGAUCGUAGUCGAGGGUUUCGACGAGAUCUCUCGGCAAGUUGGCUCCGCGUACUCCAGCUUCGUAAGCUUUGGUGGGUGUGUUGGCGAAGAGAUUCUGAUCCGAACCUCUCCCAAGGGGUCCCCUUUUAUACCGUGAGUCAUCUUGAUCCCCAAGAAAGGUUUUGAGGAUAUCGGACCUGGGACGGUCUAACGGAAACUUUAUCCCUUACGAGUAGAACUUUAUAAAUCACUUGACUCGUAAAGAUAUUUUCCUUAAUUUGAAGUAACUUCCAUACGACAUAUAUGUAAAUAAUCCGUAUACGUAAAGGUAUACCAUAUUGGUAUAUUUCACAAGUCGCAGGAUAGAAGGUAUGCCUUAUCCGUAACCCUGACAAAUAUCCCUCUUACUAACUAGAAAUAAAAUAAUUAGUUCAAACUCCCAAAAUGGUGCUAUCUAUAUAGACACUAUAUAUAUUACCAUUUGCAAAAAAAAAAAGAAGAAGAAGAAGAAGAAGAAAAAUAUUCCCUUCAUUUUUAUCUAGUUGACGCGGGUUAGUUCCAUUUUGCACUAACCAACAUCAAAUUUUUUAAAAAGGAGGGAUUGUAUAUUAUCACAAUAGUUUUUAAUACAUACAUGGGAAAGGCCAAAAGUCGCAUAACAACAAAAGGGUAAAUGUGCUUUUCAUCGAAGAAAAAGAAGUUCAAAAUCUACCCUUAGUCCAAAUGAUCAUGACAAACAAAAUAGGACAUAAUCCCUGCGGUUCCAUAAUUCUUGACGUCCUUACCAAUAACACAGGGCAUCAUUUUUUCGCUUAUGCUUAUAUUUAUCAGCCAAAAUUUGAAUUUUCAACCUUAAAUUUGGAGCUGAUUUUAAGGAUUUUUUUUUAUCGAAGUUUAUUUUUCAGCUUUUGCUUUUAGAUCGCUAAGAACGCACAUAUAAAAAUUUUAUUCACAUACUACUUUUCGUUUGCAAAUAUGCCAUUUCGCUUAUUCCGAGAAUAAGUGAAACAAUGGCUCCAAUAGUCUUUAAAAUAUAUCUUUGAUUAUGUUUUUAUCUUAAAUAUAUAUACAUAUAUAAUAAAUAAAUAUAAUUUUACUUUUAUCAUAAUAUUUUUGAAAAAUAAAUAUCUCUAUGUAUAUUGUUCUAUUAUAUUUAUAAACUAAAUACUUUUAAAUUAUUUGUACUUCUAAUUAAAUUUAUAAAAGUUUCACCUCGACCGAAUUAUGAAACCGUUGCGAGUAUAAGAGAAAACACAAUCUUAACAAAACAUUAAGAUGAAAAGGAUGAAACUUUUCAUCUUAAAAAACCGUGCACAAAACACAAUCCUAAUAAGUACUUCAUUCGUUUUAUAUUAUAAGACUUUCUACCAUUUCUUUUAUUUAUAUAGAUGUUAAUGAAUUUAUACGUAAUAUGAAACGGAAUGAAGUAGUAAAACAUUCAGAUGAAAAAGAUGAAACUUUUCAUCUGAAAAACCGUGCACCACCAGAUGAGCCUCUGCUUUCAGAUCUCACCAACCAACCAAAAAAAAAAAUCUCCUCUCUUCUUAUAUAAAUAAGGAACUCUCCCAAACCCCUCUUCUCCGUCCUCCUCCUCCUCCUCCCUCGCCGUCCGCCGCCGCCGCUCGCUUCCUCCCCUCUCCCACGGUAAGCCCGCGCCGCCGCUCUCUCCCUCUCCUCCGUCACCCUUCCCUUCCUCCGAAUCGGCCGAGUCUGUCAGCGACGGAGACCGCGCCGGGAUCCGUGCCCAUUCGCGUAGUAGCGGCGAGCGACGGUUUUUUUUUUUUUUGCCUGCAAAGUCGGUCGCUUUCGUGUGGCGUCGGGUCGGGGAGAAUGGAUCGAUCUGUUCGUCUUGAUCGGAUGGAUUGAUCGAUCAAUCGAUCUUGGUGGGAUCCGAUCUGAAUGAGGUUUUUGGGUUAGGAAAUGGAGUGAAAGAUUGGACUUUUUUUUUUGUCGGUGUGUUGCACGGUUCGUUUAGGAUUGGAUCUGUGUUUUCUUCCGUGGAAAAUCUUCCAUUUUUCACUGCAAGUGCACAUUUGUGGCCUCUUCAGUACUUGUGUUUCUAAACCCGGGGGGUUUUUGGAUCUGACACCGAGGUUUAGUCCGUGUUGUCAUAUGUUUUUUCUCAAAUUCUGUUACGAUAUUCUCCUAUUAUAAAUGCAUUACGGUGUACUAGACCCUGUGAUCUGUGGAGUACAUGUUAAGGUCGUGCUUCCAGUACCAUCGCAUCUACUGUCAUUUGGUUGCCAUCUCGUAUUAUUUGGUUAGGAAUUUGCAAUUGCCUGCAUGCUAAUAAAUGAAUUGUUGUUUGUAUGGCAUGCCAAACAAGAUCCAACUACUUUGCUGCUGGUGUGAGAGGGACAGUGUCUCCCACCAAUUGUAGUUGGUCUUAUGUACCCACCACUUUGGGCUGGGUCCUACUACAUGCUAGUGCUGGUUGGUGGUGUACCUAACCCAUAUACUAGUAUCAGUUUAGUCUAUUCUUUUAGCACCACUGGAUCUGGUGAUAUAGCCCCAUGUAUAGGAAUCAGGAAGAUUAGUAGAACAGAAAACACAAAAGUAUGCUUUAAUAGUUGGAUGGCAUAUACCUUUAUUCGGAUCACCGUUCCAAAUGUGACGUUAGUAUCCGUUAGUGGCAUGCUUUUUAAUCUAACAAGGCGUUCUUCAUCGUGUGGUUAGCAUAUGGAUAUGUGUAAUCUUGUUAGCUAAAUCAUAAUUUUCGUAUGUAUUCACAUGACAUUUCGAUGAAUCAAACUGAUCGUAGUACAAUUGUUUCUAUAGAAAGAUGGCGUCUCACAUUGUUGGAUACCCCCGCAUGGGCCCCAAGAGGGAGCUCAAGUUUGCCCUGGAGUCUUUCUGGGAUGGGAAGAGCAGCGCUGAGGAUUUGGAGAAGGUUGCGACCGACCUCAGGGCCAGCAUCUGGAAGCAAAUGGCUGACGCUGGGAUCAAGUAUAUCCCCAGCAACACCUUCUCGUACUAUGAUCAGGUUCUUGACACGACCGCCAUGCUUGGUGCUGUCCCAGAGCGCUACUCAUGGACCGGUGGAGAGAUUGGGUUCAGCACCUACUUCUCGAUGGCUAGGGGAAAUGCCACUGUCCCUGCUAUGGAGAUGACCAAGUGGUUUGACACCAACUAGUAAGUACUUUGCUUCCAUUUAAGAUGUCUGACAGUAAACAUUUUAUUUAAUUUUUAUAUUCAACAUUUUAGCUAACUGGUGCUGUUUACCUUUACAGCCACUUUAUCGUCCCUGAACUUGGUCCCAACACCAAGUUCUCCUACUCUUCCCACAAGGCUGUGAAUGAAUACAAGGAGGCCAAGGCGGUAAGAUAAUAGAAUUAUAUCUUUACAUCUCUGUCUGCUUAAUGAUUUUUUUUCUCUGCCUGACUAGAUGUCGCUAGCACAUUGCUUAAUGUCAUCAAUAUCCUAGUUCAUAAAGUUAUUUAUUAGUUUAUUUUGUUGCCUUUUGUUAUGAUGCUAAUUCAAACAUCAAGUUUUAGUAGUGAUCAAUUGUUUCUUAGUUGUGCAUUUAUAUAAUAAUUUUGUUUAGAAAAGAAUCUGAUGUAGAUUAAGUGCUGGCUUGUAAAUUAUGUUUUGGAAGAUUGUCACUUCCACAGAUUAAUGGCCUGUAAAUGACAAGCCCACCAAGUCAGUUCGUUUCUUUAGUGCUGUAUUAAUACGGCCAAACAAAUUUUGGCCCCUUGCUUAGAAUUUUGAAUGUAGCACUUUCAGAUUGACUAUGACUAGAGUUCACUUUAAAGGUUAUGAAAUAAUUUUUUUGCACUAUAUGUUGUUUUCAUCUUUUUUCAAAAAGCUGCCCAUGUUGAUCUGUGGCAAUAUUUUUUUUUUCUAAUUUCACAUAUUCUUUAUUGGUGAUUGGUGAAUUUACCUGAAAAGUUCUUUGAUUAAAUAUGUUAUCUUGUUCCAGUUUGUGAAUAGUGGCACUGCUGUUUCAAGCAUCAAAUUCUGAAUUUUGUUGUAGUCCUGAAAUGAAAAUCACAGUGCCCUAUUUAUUAAGAUGUAAUCUGGUUGCCUUAAUGUCUCCUAUGUAAUUGUUCUUCAUGCAGCUCGGCGUUGACACCGUGCCAGUACUUGUUGGACCAGUUUCAUACUUGUUGCUCUCCAAGCCUGCCAAGGGUGUAGAGAAGUCGUUCGCUCUUCUUUCCCUUCUCAGCAGCAUCCUUCCUGUCUACAAGUAAGUGUACAAACAAGUCUAUAACUACUGCUAGCGCUAAAUCUUCAGUUCAUAAUUUGAUGCAUGAUGAUUUGUAGGGAGGUUAUUGCUGAGUUGAAGGCAGCUGGUGCUACAUGGAUUCAGUUUGAUGAGCCCACACUUGUUCUUGACCUUGACUCUCACCAAUUGGCUGCAUUCUCUGCAGCGUACACAGAACUCGAGUCGGCACUUUCUGGAUUGAAUGUGCUUAUUGAGACAUACUUCGCUGACAUUCCUGCUGAAUCAUACAAGUAUGUUUAUUUCCUCUACUAUCGUAUCAUUAUCGAACCUGCCUUUCCUUUAUCAUUCUUCUUUUUAUAGUGGCAGAACACUGAAUACUGCCUUUUCACUGCAGGACCCUCACAUCCCUGAACAGCGUGACUGCUUAUGGUUUUGACCUUAUCCGUGGUUCCAAGACUCUUGACCUUGUCAAGAGUGCUGGUUUCCCCUCUGGCAAGUACCUCUUUGCUGGUGUUGUGGAUGGACGCAACAUCUGGGCUGAUGAUCUCGCCGCAUCUCUCACCACCCUCGAGUCUCUUGAGGCUAUUGUUGGAAAGGG
rnacentral:lncRNA from 1 species